GACGAACGCUGGCGGCGUGCUUAACACAUGCAAGUCGAACGGAAAGGCCCUGCUUUUGUGGGGUGCUCGAGUGGCGAACGGGUGAGUAACACGUGAGUAACCUGCCCUUGACUUUGGGAUAACUUCAGGAAACUGGGGCUAAUACCGGAUAGGAGCUCCUGCUGCAUGGUGGGGGUUGGAAAGUUUCGGCGGUUGGGGAUGGACUCGCGGCUUAUCAGCUUGUUGGUGGGGUAGUGGCUUACCAAGGCUUUGACGGGUAGCCGGCCUGAGAGGGUGACCGGCAACAUUGGGACUAGGAUACGGCCCAGACUCCUACGGGAGGCAGCAGUGGGGAAUAUUGCACAAUGGGCGGAAGCCUGAUGCAGCAACGCCGCGUGCGGGAUGACGGCCUGCGGGUUAUAAACCGCUUUCGCCUGUGACGAAGCGUGAGUGACGGUAAUGAGUAAAGAAGCACCGGCUAACUACGUG
rnacentral:rRNA from 1 species